GGGUAGGGAUAAAGGGCGGAUACGGAUGCGGAUGGCGGAUACGGAUGCGGAUGGCGGAUACGGAUGCGGAUGAGAAAAUACGGAUGAGAAAAUGCGGAUGGGGGAUAAAACGCGGAUGGGGGAUAAAACGCGGAUGGGAAAAUGCGGAUGGGGGAUAAAACGCGGAUGAGAAAAUGCGGAUGGGGGAUAAAACGCGGAUGAGAAAAUGCGGAUGGGGGAUAAAACGCGGAUGGGAAAAUGCGGAUGGGGGAUAAAACGCGGAUGGGAAAAU